rnacentral:rRNA from 1 species
CAUGCAGUCGAGCGGGGUUUUCGGACCUAGCGGCGGACGGGUGAGUAAUGCGUAGGAAGCUACCCGAUAGAGGGGGAUACCAGUUGGAAACGACUGUUAAUACCGCAUAAUGUCUACGGACCAAAGUGUGGGACCUUCGGGCCACAUGCUAUCGGAUGCGCCUGCGUGGGACUAGCUAGUUGGUGAGGUAAUGGCUCACCAAGGCGACGAUCUCUAGCUGGUUUGAGAGGAUGAUCAGCCACACUGGAACUGAGACACGGUCCAGACUCCUACGGGAGGCAGCAGUGGGGAAUAUUGGACAAUGGGCGCAAGCCUGAUCCAGCCAUGCCGCGUGUGUGAAGAAGGCCUUCGGGUUGUAAAGCACUUUCAGCGAGGAGGAAGGGGUAGGUGUUAAUAGCAUCUACUUUUGACGUUACUCGCAGAAGAAGCACCGGCUAACUCUGUGCCAGCAGCCGCGGUAAUACAGAGGGUGCAAGCGUUAAUCGGAAUUACUGGGCGUAAAGCGCACGCAGGCGGUUGGUUAAGUCAGAUGUGAAAGCCCCGGGCUCAACCUGGGAAUUGCAUUUGAAACUGGCCAACUAGAGUAUGUGAGAGGGGGGUAGAAUUCCAAGUGUAGCGGUGAAAUGCGUAGAGAUUUGGAGGAAUACCAGUGGCGAAGGCGGCCCCCUGGCACAAUACUGACGCUCA